rnacentral:rRNA from 1 species
UACGUAGGGGGCAAGCGUUGUCCGGAAUUAUUGGGCGUAAAGCGCGCGCAGGCGGCCUAUUAAGUCUGAUGUGAAAGCCCACGGCUCAACCGUGGAGGGCCAUUGGAAACUGGUAGGCUUGAGUGCAGGAGAGGAGAGCGGAAUUCCUGGUGUAGCGGUGAAAUGCGUAGAUAUCAGGAGGAACACCCGUGGCGAAGGCGGCUCUCUGGGACGGUACUGACGCUGAGACGCGAAAGCGUGGGGAGCGAACAGG